rnacentral:rRNA from 1 species
CAACGCGAAGAACCUUACCAGCCUUAGACAUCUCGGUCGCGAGCACCAGAGAUGGAGCUCUUCAGUUCGGCUGGACUGGAGACAGGUGCUGCAUGGCUGUCGUCAGCUCGUGUCGUGAGAUGUUGGGUUAAGUCCCGCAACGAGCGCAACCCUCGCCCUUAGUUGCCAUCAUUUAGUUGGGCACUCUAAGGGGACUGCCGGUGAUAAGCCGGAGGAAGGUGGGGAUGACGUCAAGUCCUCAUGGCCCUUACAGGCUGGGCUACACACGUGCUACAAUGGCGGUGACAGAGGGACGCAAAGGAGUAAUCCUUCGCAAAUCUCAAAAAGCCGUCUCAGUUCGGAUUGUGCUCUGCAACUCGAGCACAUGAAGUUGGAAUCGCUAGUAAUCGCAGAUCAGCACGCUGCGGUGAAUACGUUCCCGGGCCUUGUACACACCGCCCGUCACACCAUGGGAGUUGGCUUUACCUGAAGGCGGUGCGCUAACCCGCAAGGGAGGCAGCCGACCACGGUAGGGUCAGCGACUGGGGUGAAGUGGUAACAAGGUAGCCGUAGGGGAACC